GAAGAUGAAGUUUAGAGAGAAUAGAGAUUAAUUGAGAGGGUAAAAAUCAUAUGGAAUUAAUUCAUUCAACAUGUUACAAAAUGUAUAUAUAGUGCCUACUAACACUAAACAAAGUAACAAACAAAGCUAAACAAAAACAGCCUAAAAACAAAAGUAUUUUUCUGGUUUUCCUGCAGCAUUCUGGCAGCUUUUCCAAAUAGCUUCUCAAAUAAGCUAUUCUCCAAACAUGCUUCUGAUCAUAGUUACAUUGCAUUUGACUUAUAUAACAUCCAACACACCACCUUAAGUCAAAUGCUCGAUGUUCU
rnacentral:lncRNA from 1 species